GUGUCAGCCGCCGCGGUAAUACGGGGGGGGCAAGCGUUGUUCGGAAUUACUGGGCGUAAAGGGCGCGUAGGCGGCUCGCUAAGUCGGGUGUGAAAACUCUGGGCUCAACCCAGAGCCUGCACUCGAAACUGACGAGCUAGAGUUCUGGAGGGGAAAGCGGAAUUCCUGGUGUAGCGGUGAAAUGCGUAGAUAUCAGGAGGAACACCGGUGGCGAAGGCGGCUUUCUGGACAGAAACUGACGCUGAGGCGCGAAAGCUAGGGGAGCAAACAGGAUUAGAAACCCGCGUAGUCC
rnacentral:rRNA from 1 species